rnacentral:lncRNA from 1 species
AGAUUUCGCCGCGUUUGGAUUUCACAGCUUGCUCGUCGAUGCAAUCUACGUGUCCCAUCGAUGCGAGACAAUGAAGCCGAUAGCUUAAUUCGAUACCAUGGAUGCAUUUGGAUGGACUGUAGUAAAUCUACAGUAGCAGCAGUUGUGAUCUAGAACUUGGACGGCUAGCGAUCUUUAUAGUUCGCCGCCAUCGCCGUCAUCAUCAUGAACCUUCAUGGGCUCGUAGCAAUAUACUGCACGGAUGCGUCAAAGCGCUUUAUAAUAUCUAAUCAUCCGUUCGAGGAACUCAUUCCUGUGAUGCCUGUGUAGCUUUCCUUCUCCGUAUGCGGGGUAUGUCCAUAGUCCAUUGCUUGAGGGUUGGUCUAUGUUGGUCUGCAAGUGUGAGGACCAUAGUUUAUUCUCCAGGUCGUUGGACGGCCAACCCACGCGCGCGGGCGGUCCUGCUACUUCGAAAGACCUUCGCAUGAUCUGGAGCUGCUACGCACGUUUCUGAAGCACCACUCAUCGUGUGUUGUUAAGGGAGCUUGGCUAAUGACCCCUCCACAGGGUUAUCCUUACGAAAGGGACUGGGUUUUACAAUGUGUUGUGUGAGUAUAUACAACUUGCUGUCACCACCUGGUUUGCCAUGAUCCUAUGGGGUCUCAGGUGCUUUGCGAAGCUGCACACGGACCUGGAUGAAAAGCGAAAGGUCUAUUUCGUUUCAUCAUACUCGAUCAUUCUUAGAUCUGUCAUGGUAAAGUUGAAGGCGCGGUUUGGUGAUUACUGGCGGAAUCCACGUCUUUUUGCUACACCCUCCGGGAAUGGUGUCGGACAAGCAAAAGGGUUAAACCAGGGGUUAAGAUGUGCCGGCAUACCCAUUGGAUGGGAAUGCCGAAACACACAACAUGCUACAUACCUGCGACGUCUUACUGCUGUGGUUUCGCCUCGGGGCGUGGACUUUGGAGGUUGUAGCCGACCCGGCGGUCAGUCGCGCCAAGUUUUGAAAGCUGGUGUAGGAUCUGUGGCAACCGUAAUGCAGUCGAAGAUGAGUUUUACGUGUUGCUAAAGAGUGACCCGCCUACGACGACCUAGGGUUUUAGGUGUACGCCAGAAUGAUAUCGAGGUGUACGCCAGAAUGAUAUCGAGUACGUGCACAAUAUAAGGUCUGUCAUGAUGAGGA